rnacentral:lncRNA from 1 species
UGAUGAUAGUGAUGAUAAUGAGAUUGAUGAUGAUGAUGAUGAUGAUGAUGAUGGAAAUCUCUGCUCCCAAAGUCUUACCUCCUGCCAGAUUCCACAGUUGAUAUGGACACAGAGCUGGGCAGGACCACAGGGAUUAUCUGUUUAACCCCUUCAUUUUAAAGCUGGGGAUACAGCCUUGGAGAGGUACAGAGGUAUGUCCAAGGUCACACAUCCGAGUUGGGGCAGAGUCAGGGUCCUGCCCUAGCCCCGUCCUGGUCUCUGCCCCACUUGGGCUGCCAGGCCUCCUCUUGCUGCCACAGAUUCUUCUCUUUCCUCCCAGUCCACUGCAGCAGGACCUGGUUCUUGGCUUCUCACCUGUCCCAGCAGACUUUAACUAUGAAUGUUCAUCACUGGGUUUUAAUUAUCCUGCAAGUUCUGCAAGCACUUUCCAGGAGACAUUUUUCUCUAUUAUUUUCCUCCAGAUGAAUGAGUUUGGACUCAUCUGUCUCUGAUAACCAGGAAUAGCCACCUCCUGACAGCACCAACACCUGCUUGCUUCUCAGGGGCUCCUGACCCAUUGUUUCCAGAAACAAAGAUCUCCCCUGGGUGCAUCCCCCUGUACAGGAUGGGGAAACCGAGGCCCAAAGCAGAGGGACCAGCUCGAGGUCACACAGCAGGUCAGCAGCUGAGGCAGAGCCUGAAUGGUCUCUGGACUCCUCGCCCAUGGUGUCACUACGGCACCACUGCAUCUGCCCAGCCUCAAGGAGCCUGUGACACUAUUUCCCAGUGAAGCCAUAAGGUCAAGUUCACCCGUUUCUCACCCAUUCUCCCCUUGAGGGUGGAGACAUCUCAGCAUUUCAGUAUGGCUCCUCAGUGUCCUU